rnacentral:lncRNA from 1 species
AUUGUAUUAAAACAUAUCAACAAAUAAUUUAAGAAAUUUCAUUAUUGAAAUUUCCAUUACCAAUCAAAUGAUCAAUCCUUCCUUCAGGGUGGGCAAAAAACUAGCAACAUCCAAGUGUAUUAUAUCAACUUGGCUAUCAUCUUCAACAAAAUUUGUUUCAAUAUUUUUUUUCUUUAUCUUUUAAUAAUGCUUGAUAAAGUUCAACAAGAUAUUUUGGUGUACGACAGGUAAGUGACCAAUGGCCUUUCAUGCCACAUCGAUAACAAAUAUUUUUUAUAUUCUUUUUACUUUGUCCACCUUUGUCUUUUUCUUGUAUCUCUUU